rnacentral:rRNA from 1 species
GAUGAACGCUGGCGGCGUGCUUAACACAUGCAAGUCGAACGAACCUUCGGGUUAGUGGCGGACGGGUGAGUAACGCGUGAGAAUCUGCCCUCAGGAGGGGGAUAACGGUUGGAAACGACCGCUAAUACCCCAUAUGCCGAUAGGUGAAAUGAAUUUCGCCUGAGGAUGAGCUCGCGUCUGAUUAGCUUGUUGGUGAGGUAAUGGCUCACCAAGGCUUCGAUCAGUAGCUGGUCUGAGAGGAUGAUCAGCCACACUGGGACUGAGACACGGCCCAGACUCCUACGGGAGGCAGCAGUGGGGAAUUUUCCGCAAUGGGCGAAAGCCUGACGGAGCAACGCCGCGUGAGGGACGAAGGCCUCUGGGCUGUAAACCUCUUUUCUCAAGGAAGAAGAUAUGACGGUACUUGAGGAAUAAGCCACGGCUAAUUCCGUGCCAGCAGCCGCGGUAAUACGGGAGUGGCAAGCGUUAUCCGGAAUUAUUGGGCGUAAAGCGUCCGCAGGCGGCCUUUCAAGUCUGCUGUUAAAGCGUGGAGCUUAACUCCAUUAUGGCAGUGGAAACUGAGGGGCUCGAGUGUGGUAGGGGCAGAGGGAACUCCCGGUGUAGCGGUGAAAUGCGUAGAUAUCGGGAAGAACACCAGUGGCGAAGGCGCUCUGCUGGGCCAUUACUGACGCCCAUGGACGAAAGCCAGGGGAGCGAAAGGGAUUAGAUACCCCUGUAGUCCUGGCCGUAAACGAUGAACACUAGGUGUCGGGGGAAUCGACCCCUUCGGUGUCGUAGCUAACGCGUUAAGUGUUCCGCCUGGGGAGUACGCACGCAAGUGUGAAACUCAAAGGAAUUGACGGGGGCCCGCACAAGCGGUGGAGUAUGUGGUUUAAUUCGAUGCAACGCGAAGAACCUUACCAGGGUUUGACAUCCUGAGAACCUCUUAGAAUUUGAGGGUGCCUUCGGGAAUUCAGUGACAGGUGGUGCAUGGCUGUCGUCAGCUCGUGUCGUGAGAUGUUGGGUUAAGUCCCGCAACGGGCGCAACCCACGUUUUUAGUUGCCAGCAUUCAGUUGGGCACUCUAGAAAGACCGCCGGUGAUAAACCGGAGGAAGGUGUGGAUGACGUCAAGUCAUCAUGCCCCUUACACCCUGGGCUACACACGUACUACAAUGCUACGGACAAAGGGCAGCAAACUCGCGAGAGCUAGCAAAUCCCAUAAACCGUGGCUCAGUUCGGAUCGUAGGCUGCAACUCGCCUACGUGAAGUAGGAAUCGCUAGUAAUCGCAGGUCAGCAUACUGCGGUGAAUACUUUCCCGGGCCUUGCACACACCGCCCGUC